rnacentral:rRNA from 1 species
CAACUUUUAACAACGGAUCUCUUGGCUCUGGCAUCGAUGAAGAACGCAGCGAAAUGCGAUAAGUAUUGUGAAUUGCAGAAUCCAGUGAAUCAUCGAAUCUUUGAACGCACAUUGCGCCCGCCGGAAUUCCGGCGGGCAUGCCUGUUCGAGCGUCAUUU